AUUGAACGCUGGCGGCAGGCCUAACACAUGCAAGUCGAGCGGAUGACGGGAGCUUGCUCCUUGAUUCAGCGGCGGACGGGUGAGUAAUGCCUAGGAAUCUGCCUGGUAGUGGGGGACAACGUUUCGAAAGGAACGCUAAUACCGCAUACGUCCUACGGGAGAAAGCAGGGGACCUUCGGGCCUUGCGCUAUCAGAUGAGCCUAGGUCGGAUUAGCUGGUAGGUGAGGUAAUGGCUCACCUAGGCGACGAUCCGUAACUGGUCUGAGAGGAUGAUCAGUCACACUGGAACUGAGACACGGUCCAGACUCCUACGGGAGGCAGCAGUGGGGAAUAUUGGACAAUGGGCGAAAGCCUGAUCCAGCCAUGCCGCGUGUGUGAAGAGGGUCUUCGGAUUGUAAAGCACUUUAAGUUGGGAGGAAGGGCAGUAAGCUAAUACCUUGCUGUUUUGACGUUACCGACAGAAUAAGCACCGGCUAACUCUGUGCCAGCCGCCGCGUAAUAC
rnacentral:rRNA from 1 species